rnacentral:rRNA from 1 species
UGGGGAAUCUUCCGCAAUGGACGAAAGUCUGACGGAGCAACGCCGCGUGAGUGAAGAAGGUUUUCGGAUCGUAAAACUCUGUCUUUUGGGGCGAACGUGAGUAUGGUGAACAAUCAUAGUCAGUGACGGUACCAAAGGAGGAAGCCACGGCUAACUACGUGCCAGUAGCCGCGGUAAUACGUAGGUGGCAAGCGUUGUCCGGAAUUAUUGGGCGUAAAGAGCGCGUAGGCGGGAUAGUCAGUCUGUUGUAAAAGUGCGGGGCUCAACCCCGUGAUGGCAAUGGAAACAGCUAUUCUUGAGUGCAGGAGAGGAAAGUGGAAUUCCCAGUGUAGCGGUGAAAUGCGUAGAUAUUGGGAGGAACACCAGUGGCGAAGGCGACUUUCUGGACUGUGUCUGACGCUGAGGCGCGAAAGCCAGGGGAGCGAACGGGAUUAGAUACCCCGGUAGUCCUGGCCGUAAACGAUGGGUACUAGGUGUGGGAGGUAUCGACCCCUUCCGUGCCGGAGUUAACGCAAUAAGUACCCCGCCUGGGGAGUACGGUCGCAAGACUGAAACUCAAAUGAAUUGAC